UAAAAGAUAAGCUAAACAAGCUAACGGGCUCAUACCCCGUAAAUGAAAGUCCAACCUCUCUCUUUUUA
rnacentral:tRNA from 1 species